UGUGGAGCAAUUUAUGGGAAGAAUAGGUGGCAAUAGCACGUGUAAAGGGGAUGAGACAUUGAUCGAAGCGAAGAGAGGUGGACUGAAUAUGGAUGUUCCCAUUAUGGGUGGAACAAAUGAUGUGGUGGGAGGGUGUUAAGAUGGUAUAUCAUUGGACACUAGGAAAGAAAGAGAAGUGGUGGCCGAAGAAGGGGAGAUAUUUUCCGAGGGAGAAUGCGUGGAAGUAGGAAGGGAAUAGAAAAGGGAGUUUGAGGCAAGAGGUGGUGAGUUGAAAUACCAACUAUGGAGAAUGUGUGAGUUAAUUUUGUCAUGCUUAGUAAAAGUAGGUAGAGAUGGAAACGAGGCCUCAU
rnacentral:lncRNA from 1 species